rnacentral:rRNA from 1 species
CCUACGGGAGGCAGCAGUGGGGAAUAUUGGACAAUGGGCGAAAGCCUGAUCCAGCAAUGCCGCGUGAGUGAUGAAGGCCUUAGGGUUGUAAAGCUCUUUUACCAGGGAUGAUAAUGACAGUACCUGGAGAAUAGGCUCCGGCUAACUCCGUGCCAGCAGCCGCGGUAAUACGGAGGGAGCUAGCGUUGUUCGGAAUUACUGGGCGUAAAGCGUGCGUAGGCGGCGAUUCAAGUCAGAGGUGAAAGCCUGGAGCUCAACUCCAGAACUGCCUUUGAAACUAGAUUGCUAGAAUCAUGGAGAGGUGAGUGGAAUUCCGAGUGUAGAGGUGAAAUUCGUAGAUAUUCGGAAGAACACCAGUGGCGAAGGCGGCUCACUGGACAUGUAUUGACGCUGAGGCACGAAAGCGUGGGGAGCAAACAGGAUUAGAUACCCUGGUAGUCCACGCCGUAAACGAUGAUAACUAGCUGCCAGGGCUCAUAGAGCUUUGGUGGCGCAGCUAACGCAUUAAGUUAUCCGCCUGGGGAGUACGGUCGCAAGNUUAAAACUCAAAGGAAUUGACGGCUGAGAGUGCGACGGACGACGACGAGGGAGGAGG